rnacentral:lncRNA from 1 species
GGGCUGGUGGGUCAGAGCAGGGGGGCUGGGAGCCAGGACUCCUGGGUUCUCUCCCCGGCUCUGGGAGGGGAGUGGGGACUGGUGCGAGCAGGGGGGGGCUGGGAGCCAGGACUCCUGGGUUCUCUCCCAACUCUGGGAGGGGAGUGGGGGCUGGUGGGUCAGAGCAGGGGGAGCUGGGAGCCCGGACUCCUGGGUUCUCUCCCUGGCUCUGGGAGGGGAGUAGGGGCUGGUGGGUCAGAGCAGGGGGGCUGGGAGCCAGGACUCCUGGGUUCUCUCCCCGGCUCUGGGAGGGGAGUAGGGGCUGGUGGGUCAGAGCAGGGGGGCUGGGAGCCAGGACUCCUUGGUUCUCUCCCCGGCUCUGGGAGGGGAGUGGGGGCUGGUGCGAGCAGGGGGGGGCUGGGAGCCAGGACUCCUGGGUUCUCUCCCAACUCUGGAGGGGAGUGGGGGCUGGUGGGUCAGAGCAGGGGGAGCUGGGAGCCCGGACUCCUGGGUUCUCUCCCCGGCUCUGGGAGGGGAGUAGGGGCUGGUGGGUCAGAGCAGGGGGGCUGGGAGCCAGGACUCCUGGGUUCUCUCCCCGGCUCUGGGAGGGGAGUAGGGGCUGGUGGGUCAGAGCAGGGGGGCUGGGAGCCAGGACUCCUGGGUUCUCUCCCUGGCUCUGGGAGGGGAGUGGGGGCUGGUGGGUCAGAGCAGGGGGGGCUGGGAGCCCGGACUCCUGGGUUCUCUCCCUGGCUCUGGGAGGGGAGUAGGGGCUGGUGGGUCAGAGCAGGGGGGCUGGGAGCCAGGACUCCUGGGUUCUCUCCCCGGCUCUGGGAGGGGAGUAGGGGCUGGUGGGUCAGAGCAGGGGGGCUGGGAGCCAGGACUCCUGGGUUCUCUCCCCGGCUCUGGGAGGGGAGUGGGGGCUGGUGGGUCAGAGCAGGGGGGGUGGGAGCCAGGACUCCUGGGUUCUCUCCCCGGCUUUGGGAGGGGAGUGGGGGCUGGUGGUUAGAGCAGGGGGGGCUGGGAGCCAGGACUCCUGGGUUCUCUCCCUGGCUCCCAGGGCUCUUGCGCCCUCUAGUGGCCGAAGGGGGUAAAUCUCCCCUCCCUGCGGGCCCAGGCUCCUGUCACCAGCCCCAGUCGGCUCUUGGGGGCCAGAGUCCGAGUCUCCCCCCCGCCAGGACUGUCCCCUACAAAUCUUCAGCCUCAGUUUCCCCUGCAUGA